UACGUAGGCGGAAAAUUAAGUCAGUAGUGAAAUCCUGCAGCUUAACUGUAGAACUGUUAUUGAUACUGGUUUUCUUGAAUAUAGUUGAGGUAGGCGGAAUGUGUAAUGUAGCGGUGAAAUGCUUAGAUAAUACACAGAACACCGAUUGCGAAGGCAGCUUACUAAGCUAUGAUUGACGCUGAGGUACGAAAGCGUGGGGAGCGAACAGGAUUAGAUACCCUGGUAGUCC
rnacentral:rRNA from 1 species